rnacentral:rRNA from 1 species
GUAGGUGGCAAGCGUUGUCCGGAAUUAUUGGGCGUAAAGCGCGCGCAGGGCGGUCCUUUAAGUCUGAUGUGAAAGCCCACGGCUCAACCGUGGAGGGUCAUUGGAAACUGGGGGACUUGAGUACAGAAGAGGAAAGCGGAAUUCCAAGUGUAGCGGUGAAAUGCGUAGAGAUUUGGAGGAACACCAGUGGCGAAGGCGGCUUUCUGGUCUGUAACUGACGCUGAGGCGCGAAAGCGUGGGGAGCAAACAGGAUUAGAUACCCUGGUAGUCCACGCCGUAAACGAUGAGUGCUAAGUGUUGGGGGUUUCCGCCCCUUAGUGCUGCAGCUAACGCAUUAAGCACUCCGCCUGGGGAGUACGGCCGCAAGGCUG